rnacentral:rRNA from 1 species
UAGGAUUCCCUCAGUAGCUGCGAGCGAACAGGGAUUAGCCCAGCACCGAAUCCCGCGGCCGAUACCGGACGCCGGGAAAUGUGGUGUUAGGGAGGAUCCAUUUAUCCCGAGAUUGUGCGGUGCGUCCAAGUCCUUCUUGAACGGGGCCACAGCCCAUAGAGGGUGCCAGGCCCGUAGUGACCUCUGCCAAUCGCGGGAGGAUCUCUCCUCAGAGUCGGGUUGCUUGAGAGUGCAGCCCUAAGUGGGUGGUAAACUCCAUCUAAGGCUAAAUAUGACCACGAGACCGAUAGCGAACAAGUACCGUGAGGGAAAGUUGAAAAGCACUUUGAAGAGAGAGUUCAAGAGUACGUGAAACCGUUCAGGGGUAAACCUGAGAAACCCGAAAGGUCGAAAGGGGAAAUUCAUUCGCAUUUCGAUGCUAGCGUAAGACGGUCGCAUGACAAAUGGCGUUCGCGUCGUUUGCGUCUUCUGUUUUCACGAACUGGCGUCGAAUGCGUGCACUUUUCCCCUAGUAGGACGUCGCGAUCCGUUGGGUGCCGGUCUAAGGCCCGUGGUGGAGCCCGUUCGUGUUCGGUUUACGCCGUUCGCGUUCGGACCCAUGGAUGCCCGACCGGCUUGCCCGACGGUAUACAGAUGGUGCAGAGCCGCGACUUAGUUCGCGUCCGGCCCAUGGCAAGCGCGUUUGUGUGUCGGCAAUCGGACCUAGUGCCGGUUGUGUGACCUCGAAUGACUGUUGGCUGUGGUGUUUUCUCGGACAGACUCUGAUUAUGAAACACCGAUCUGCGGCGCUAUAGCUUUGGGUACUUUCAGGACCCGUCUUGAAACACGGACCAAGGAGUCUAGCAUGUGCGCAAGUCAUUGGGACAUAACCAAACCUAAAGGCGUAAUGAAAGUAAAGAUUUGUCUUGCACAAAUCAAGGGAAGAUGAGUGGUUUGCCCUUAAAGUGGCCGCUCCGCAUUCCCGGGGCGUCUCAUUCUCAUUGCGAGAAGAGGCGCACCAAGAGCGUACACGCUGGGACCCGAAAGAUGGUGAACUAUGCCUGGUCAGGACGAAGUCAGGGGAAACCCUGAUGGAGGUCCGUAGCGAUUCUGACGUGCAAAUCGAUCGUCGGAACUGGGUAUAGGGGCGAAAGACUAAUCGAACUAUCUAGUAGCUGGUUCCCUCCGAAGUUUCCCUCAGGAUAGCUGGCGCUCAUUGCGUACGAGUCUCAUCCGGUAAAGCGAAUGAUUAGAGGCAUUGGGGUCGAAACGACCUCAACCUAUUCUCAAACUUUAAAUGGGUGAGAUCUCCGGCUUGCUCGAACUAUAAUUGAAGCCGUGAGACACGGAUCAGAG